rnacentral:rRNA from 1 species
AUGUCAGCGGCAGACGGGUGAGUAACGCGUGGGAACGUACCUCUUGGUUCGGAACAACACAGGGAAACUUGUGCUAAUACCGGAUAAGCCCUUAUGGGGGAAAGAUUUAUCGCCGAAAGAUCGGCCCGCGUCUGAUUAGCUAGUUGGUGAGGUAACGGCUCACCAAGGCGACGAUCAGUAGCUGGUCUGAGAGGAUGAUCAGCCACAUUGGGACUGAGACACGGCCCAAACUCCUACGGGAGGCAGCAGUGGGGAUUAUUGGACAAUGGGCGCAAGCCUGAUCCAGCCAUGCCGCGUGAGUGAUGAAGGCCCUAGGGUUGUAAAGCUCUUUUGUGCGGGAAGAUAAUGACGGUACCGCAAGAAUAAGCCCCGGCUAACUUCGUGCCAGCAGCCGCGGUAAUACGAAGGGGGCUAGCGUUGCUCGGAAUCACUGGGCGUAAAGGGUGCGUAGGCGGGUCUUUAAGUCAGGGGUGAAAUCCUGGAGCUCAACUCCAGAACUGGCUUUGAUACUGAAGAUCUUG